rnacentral:snRNA from 1 species
GCGCUUGCUUCGGCAGCACAUAUACUAAAAUUGGAACGAUACAGAGAAGAUAAGCAUGACAUUUGUGCAAGGAUGACACGCAAAUUCGUUCCAUAUUUUU